rnacentral:rRNA from 1 species
UAGCUAGUUGGUGAGGUAAAGGCUUACCAAGGCGACGAUCUGUAGCGGGUCUGAGAGGAUGAUCCGCCACACUGGAACUGAGACACGGUCCAGACUCCUACGGGAGGCAGCAGUGGGGAAUUUUGGACAAUGGGGGCAACCCUGAUCCAGCCAUGCCGCGUGAGUGAAGAAGGCCUUCGGGUUGUAAAGCUCUUUCGGCCGGGAAGAAAUCGCAUGGGCCAAUACCCUGUGUGGAUGACGGUACCGGAAUAAGAAGCACCGGCUAACUACGUGCCAGCAGCCGCGGUAAUACGUAGGGUGCGAGCGUUAAUCGGAAUUACUGGGCGUAAAGCGUGCGCAGGCGGUUUUGUAAGACAGGCGUGAAAUCCCCGGGCUUAACCUGGGAACUGCGUUUGUGACUGCAAGGCUAGAGUACGGCAGAGGGGGGUGGAAUUCCACGUGUAGCAGUGAAAUGCGUAGAGAUGUGGAGGAACACAAAUGGCGAAGGCAGCCCCCUGGGUCGAUACUGACGCUCAUGCACGAAAGCGUGGGUAGCAAACAGGAUUAGAUACCCUGGUAGUCCACGCCCUAAACUAUGUCAACUAGGUGUUGGGUGGGUAAAACCAUUUAGUACCGUAGCUAACGCGUGAAGUUGACCGCCUGGGGAGUACGGCCGCAAGGUUAAAACUCAAAGGAAUUGACGGGGACCCGCACAAGCGGUGGAUGAUGUGGAUUAAUUCGAUGCAACGCGAAAAACCUUACCUACCCUUGACAUGCCAGGAACUUGCCAGAGAUGGCUUGGUGCCCGAAAGGGAGCCUGGACACAGGUGCUGCAUGGCUGUCGUCAGCUCGUGUCGUGAGAUGUUGGGUUAAGUCCCGCAACGAGCGCAACCCUUGUCGUUAAUUGCCAUCAUUUAGUUGGGCACUUUAACGAGACUGCCGGUGACAAACCGGAAGAAGGUGGGGAUGACGUCAAGUCCUCAUGGCCCUUAUGGGUAGGGCUUCACACGUCAUACAAUGGUCGGUACAAAGGGUUGCCAAGCCGCGAGGCGGAGCCAAUCCCAGAAAGCCGAUCGUAGUCCGGAUUGCAGGCUGCAACUCGCCUGCAUGAAGUCGGAAUCGCUAGUAAUCGUGGAUCAGCAUGUCACGGUGAAUACGUUCCCGGGUCUUGUACACACCGCCCGUCACACCAUGGGAGCGGGCUCCGCCAGAAGUAGGUAGCCUAACCGCAAGGGGGGCGCUUACCACGGCGGGGUUCGUGACUGGGGUGAAGUCGUAACAAGGUAGCCGUAGGGGAACCUGCGGCUG